GGUUGUGGCUCAGUGGUAGAGUGCUUGCCUAGCACAUGCAAGGCCCUGGGUUCGAUCCUCAGCACCA
rnacentral:tRNA from 1 species